rnacentral:rRNA from 1 species
CCUACGGGAGGCAGCAGUGGGGGAUAUUGCACAAUGGGGGGAACCCUGAUGCAGCGACGCCGCGUGGGUGAAGAAGCGUUUCGGCGCGUAAAGCCCUAUCGGCAGGGAAGACAAUGACGGUACCUGACCAAGAAGCCCCGGCUAACUACGUGCCAGCAGCCGCGGUAAUACGUAGGGGGCAAGCGUUCUCCGGAUUUACUGGGUGUAAAGGGGGCGCAGACGGGAAUGCAAGUCAGGAGUGAAAGCCCGGGGCCCAACCCCGGGACUGCGCUUGGAACUGGAUGGCUGGAGUACAGGAGGGGUAGGUGGAAUUCGUGGUGUAGCGGUGAAAUGCGUAGAGAUUAGGAGGAACACCGGUGGCGAAGGCGGCCUGCUGGACUGUGACUGACGUUGAGGCCCGAAGGCGUGGGGAGCAAACAGGAUUAGAUACCCCUGUAGUC